rnacentral:ncRNA from 2 species
CGGCUCGGACAGGGGCGUUCGCGUGCGCGCGGGCUGAGAAGCACCCUUUGAACCUGAACCAGAUCAUGCUGGCGUAGGGAGUUCUGAGAGCAGGCUU